rnacentral:rRNA from 1 species
CCUACGGGGUGCUGCAGUGGGGAAUAUUGGACAAUGGGCGAAAGCCUGAUCCAGCCAUGCCGCGUGUGUGAAGAAGGCCUUCGGGUUGUAAAGCACUUUCAGUGGGGAAGAAAGCCUUGGGGCUAAUACCCUCGAGGAAGGACAUCACCCACAGAAGAAGCACCGGCUAACUCCGUGCCAGCAGCCGCGGUAAUACGGAGGGUGCGAGCGUUAAUCGGAAUUACUGGGCGUAAAGCGCGCGUAGGCGGUCUGAUAAGCCGGUUGUGAAAGCCCCGGGCUCAACCUGGGAACGGCAUCCGGAACUGUCAGGCUAGAGUGCAGGAGAGGAAGGUAGAAUUCCCGGUGUAGCGGUGAAAUGCGUAGAGAUCGGGAGGAAUAUCAGUGGCGAAGGCGGCCUUCUGGACUGACACUGACGCUGAGGUGCGAAAGCGUGGGUAGCAAACAGGAUUAGAUACCCCAGUAGUC